rnacentral:rRNA from 1 species
AUUGAACGCUGGCGGCAGGCCUAACACAUGCAAGUCGAGCGGAUGAAGGGAGCUUGCUCCUGGAUUCAGCGGCGGACGGGUGAGUAAUGCCUAGGAAUCUGCCUGGUAGUGGGGGAUAACGUCCGGAAACGGGCGCUAAUACCGCAUACGUCCUGAGGGAGAAAGUGGGGGAUCUUCGGACCUCACGCUAUCAGAUGAGCCUAGGUCGGAUUAGCUAGUUGGUGGGGUAAAGGCCUACCAAGGCGACGAUCCGUAACUGGUCUGAGAGGAUGAUCAGUCACAAUGGAACUGAGACACGGUCCAGACUCCUACGGGAGGCAGCAGUGGGGAAUAUUGGACAAUGGGCGAAAGCCUGAUCCAGCCAUGCCGCGUGUGUGAAGAAGGUCUUCGGAUUGUAAAGCACUUUAAGUUGGGAGGAAGGGCAGUAAGUUAAUACCUUGCUGUUUUGACGUUACCAACAGAAUAAGCACCGGCGAACUUCGU